AGAAAGAGAACAUGAGUCUUACAGGAGCUUAUUUAUUUGAGAUGGAUUGUCACUCUGUCACUCAGGAUGGAGUGCAGUGACAUCAUCUCUGCUCACUACAACUUCCACCUCCUGGGUUCAAGGGAUUCUCCUGCCUCAGCCUCCUGAGUACCCAGGACUGUGGGUGCAUGCCACCAAUCCUGGCUAAUUUUUGUGUUUUUUUUUUUUUUUUUUUUUUUUUUUUUUUUUGUAGACAUCAGGUUUCAUCAUGUUGACCAGGCUGACCUCUAACUUCUGGCCUCAAGUGAUCCACCUGCCUCAGCCUUCCAAAGAGCUGGGAUUACAGGCGUGAGUUUAGAAGGGUUUUGAUUCAAUGGCCACAUCUGACAUGAUUGGAACUCAUGAAAUAAAAUAAGAAUUAUUGACUCUAUGUCAAUACAAAUCAACAAAUGAAUAAUUAAAUAAAUGAAGGAAGGCUGGGCACUGUGGCUCAUGUCUGUAAUCCCAGCAAUUUGGGAGGCUGAAGCAGGCAGAUUGGAAAAAACCUUGUUUAGGGAAAGAGUGAAAGGCCAGGUUGUCUGGGGAAAAGCUUCAGGUUAAAUGCAUGAAGAGUAACUGGAAUGAGUUGGAGAAGUCUGGGGAGUACAACGAUUUAUCAUCUCUACCAACCUACUCUCCUUAACUUGCAACUUGGACCAUUGGAUCACCAUUACCAGGCUUUAGGAUCCCUAAUUUUGCCUUAGUCCGGCGUGACUCAGGAAGUGGUCUUGGGGUUGCAUCCUCAGGGAUGCAACAUUUAUAAUGGGUCAAUGAUGCCAACCUCAUAGAAUUAUUAUGGAGAUUAGAAAAGAUAAAUAUGAGGGCCUGGAUCACAUAGCUUUUGAAUCUAAAGUGCAGAUCUUGUGCCAGUUCUUAGUGUCUCAUCCAUGAUGGGAUUUCUGCUGCCACACCCGUGCCAUCUGGAAACACAGAGAUUAAGGGAAAUUUCUUCAUCUUCGGCUUAUGCAGCCAAAUCUUAUUGUCAGUUUCAUUACUGAUUCUUAUCUCCUUUAGAGCUUUCUCCACUGUGUGCUAAGAAGGAAUUUCCCUUA
rnacentral:lncRNA from 1 species